UAUGUCCAAAUACAGGCAUUUGCAGCCG
rnacentral:piRNA from 1 species